rnacentral:rRNA from 1 species
UGGGGAAUUUUGGACAAUGGGCGCAAGCCUGAUCCAGCCAUGCCGCGUGCGGGAAGAAGGCCUUCGGGUUGUAAACCGCUUUUGUCAGGGAAGAAAUCCUUUGAGCUAAUACCUUGGGAGGAUGACAGUACCUUAAGAAGAAGCACCGGCUAACUACGUGCCAGCAGCCGCGGUAAUACGUAGGGUGCAAGCGUUAAUCGGAAUUACUGGGCGUAAAGCGUGCGCUGGCGGUUAUGCAAGACAGAUGUGAAAUCCCCGGGCUCAACCUGGGAACUGCAUUUGUGACUGCAUAGCUGGAGUGCGGCAGAGGACGAUGGAAUUACGAGUGUAGCAGUGAAAUGCGUAGAUAUGCGGAGGAACACCGAUGGCGAAGGCAAUCCCCUGGGCCUGCAAUGACGCUAAUGCACGAAAGAGUGAGGAGCAAACA